CGAACCGAACCGAAGUAAAUAUGGAUUUAGAAUGGUAGUUAUAUUUUACUAACCGAAAUACCGAAAACCGAAAAAAAACCGAACCGAAACCGAACCGAUAUCCGGAAAGUCUAACUAUUACAAACAAAGCUUUAUUAAUUAUUAUAAAGCUUAUGUUUUCUAGCUAGCGAUGUUAUUAAAGGAUCUUGACAAAACAAGGUGGACAAUGUCACAUGGUGCAAUAUCGCCUUUGCCGCCAACCAACCAGAUUUCACGAGAAGAGUAUCUUUAAAACUUGGAGCUGGUUUAUACUCGAGUCUUCCACUUCUUUCAGAGUGCUGUCUUUUAGUACGAUAAAGGAUUACACUAUCUUGUAAUCUAUUAUAUCACAUUCCAUAUAUAUUCCUAUUAAUGUUAGAUUCAACACCAUUCUAUAAAUACCUUACUUUAGGAAUGAACACAAUCAAGUUUUGUUAAUUAUUUUAUGCGUACUGAAGAAAAUUAGAAACUUUCGCUUAUGUCAAAUAAUUUUGUAAAAGAUUUAUAGAGCAUAGUUUUAUAUAUCGUUUAUAAACAAACGUGUUUGGUUGUUUCAUAACUAAAUAGAUAGAAUUUAAAUGCUACUAGCAAUAUAAUGUCACGUAUUAUCUAUAACCUUUUUUUGAGAGAAGGCUUACGUAUUUUUUGUAACAACUUAGAUAUUAAUCAAGACUGGUUAAUUACAAUUACAUCCUAGCUUUAUUUUUUUUUGUAUUUAUCCACAUGCUCACCUUCUUUUCUUUUACCAUACUAAUUCUUUUUUUUUUUAUCGUUAAUAUGUUUUUCUUAUCUCUUACUAUUUAUUUCUUUUGUUUAGUAGUGCUUAGUUUACAAUUUAAAAAUAAAUGAUGUAUAUGAAAGAUCAAAUUUUGUAUGUUGCAGUUUUAUAUUUUUAAACUAAACAUAACAAUAUAUUAAAACUGGUUAUUUUAUAAAACUUUAUUUCUAAUUUUUUCUUACUUUCUAUAUUAAUUGAAUGUUCAAUAAUUUUAUUAAAUAAAAUAUUUUAUUUGGCUUAGGGCAUCUUCAUCCUCACUUUAUAAUUUACUCCAAAUAUAGAAUGGAAAAUGAAGUAUGAACAAAUCAUAAAAAAUCACUCCAUUUAUGAUGUAAUCAUUUUUUUUGUUUCUUCAUUAUUCUAUUUCCCACUCUAUUUUACAGUAAAUUAUGGAGUGGGUAUGGAGAUGGUCUCGGGGCAUCAAAAAUCCAUAGCACAGCUAUUUACAACUGUGAUACACUGUGCUUUUACCAUUUUCUAAUCUUUUUUUUUGAAUUUUUCUAUAAAGUGUAUUUUUAGUGUCUCUUAAUUUUUUAUUGAGUCUUUUCAGAUUUUAUAUCAAUUUACAACGAAAAUAGAAUUUAGGUGAAAAAAAUAAUUUAAAAUAUAUAAUCGUGUAAUCAAAAGUUUAGCAAUUAAUGAAAUACUUUGCACCGAUGGAUUGGGCUCAUUUUCAGAUAGAAGAUAAGAAUUGCGUUAUCUUUCCAAUUAAAAGUUACACAUAUUUUACUAUUCACUGUAUUGAAAUCUACAAUUCUUUUUUUUUUGCUAUUUUAUUUGGCGAAUACAAAAUAGAAAUAUGAUUUUACAUUAAAAACAUAUUGUUGUUGCAUUAUUACUAUGAAUUAGUGAGUUUAUAUUUUUCCAUGUCUCUUUCUUUGUUUCAUGCUUCUUAAUUCUUCCAUUUCUCCACCUACUGAUCUUUCCACUUUUUUUUUCUUUUCUUCGUCUCCUUCACCUCCUCCUCUCAGUUUUCUCUUUUUACUCUUUUUUAUUAUUUUUCGAAAUUAGUAGAAAAAUUAUGUCUGGUACUAUUAUUGAUAUAAGUAAAUUAUUCUAUAUUAUUUGUGUAAUGCAUAUAAUAUAUUAUAAUUUUUCUGUUUUACAUCCCGUCAAUAAAACACACGCUCGAACAAAGAGAAUUGGUCUACUUUCGUCUGCAUUGUCCGAAAUACCUCUCAGAGAACCAAAUUAUUACAUGAUUUUUUCACCAAUUUUUUCUCUUGGUAUGUGUAUCACACCAACUCAUUCUUAUUAAUGUUAAUCCCACUAAAUUAGUGAUAAAAUAUCAUUAUAUCACCAACAAUCCGGGGUCUCCCAUUAAAAAGGGUGCAUUGAUUUUGUAAUGUAAAAUCUUCCAAGAGUUAACAUAUGCCAUCUGGGCAUUUUAGUCAAAACAAAAAAAUAAGUAAUUAAGGAAAGAGAAAUAUAACAAUAUUAUCAUGUUCCAUUGCGCAAGACAACAUAUGCAUAUCUUGCUCUGCCCUAAAAUUUUAAAGAACAGAAGCAAUCCAAAUAAAAUUGGCCUUUUUAAAAUAUUUUUCAUUAAAAAUAGCUAUUUUGUAUAUAUUAGCAACUUUUUCUUACAAAAUGCCAAUUUAUUCAACUUUUUUUGGGAGGGAGGUGGAAGAUGCUUUGAUAUGCAUCCCAUCAAGACCGGCUUCAUAAGGAAACUUCUCCGUCUUUAUACAAUUAGCUCUUCAGAGGACCUUUCUUCACACAAGAUAGUCUGAGCACUCAAGAAAAUGGGCCAUUUCGAACCAGUAAAUCCAUAUUAUGUUUUUCUUUUCCUGUGUUUGGUUCUAGACAGCUUAGUGCUAUUCUGUCAUGGUGGCACAACAAGUAGUUACGUCAGGAGGUUAGAGGCAACGGUUGAUAUGCCACUCAAUAGUGAUGUAUUUCGUGUUCCUCUUGGUUGAAAUGCACCUCAACAGAUGCACAUUACACAAGGAGACCUUGAAAGAAAGGCAGUGAUAGUUUCUUGGGUGACGCAAAAAGCACGAGGAUCUAACACGGUUCUUUACUGGAAAGAUCAUAGCUGCAAAAUGCUAAAAGCCCAUGGCAAAUCCAAGACGUACAAGUUCUACAACUAUACGUCUAAUCACAUCCAUCAUUGCACCCUCAGAAAUUUAGAGGUCCAUCAUCAUCAUUUCACAAUCUUUUCUUUUGUCGUGUAUCUGACUUUGUAGUUCUCUUCUUGCAGUAUGACACCAAGUACGACUAUAUGGUAGGUGUGAGACAAACAGAACGCAAGUUCUGGUUCUUCACUCCUCCUAAACCUGGUCCUGAUGUUCCCUGCAUGUUUGGUCUUAUUGGUAAUUGUGUCUUGAAAACAAAUUAAUGGUUUUAAAGAGAGAGGGAGUUAUUAGCUUCCCAUGGACUUGAACUUGAGUUGUAAUACGUUUUCAGGACACAAUUACCAAUAAGAGCAAACGUGUAGGGAACGCCAGGACCAGGUUUAGGAGGAGUGAGGAACCGUAACUUGGUUCAGUUUGUCCCACACCUACCAUAUAGUAAUAGUAGUACUUGGUGUCAUACUACAAGAAGAGAACCAAAAAGUCAGAUACACUACGAUAGAAAAGAUUGUGAUAAUGAUGCUGAUGGACCUCUUAAGUUUUUUUUUUUUUUUUUUUUUUUUUUUUUGAUGGACCUCUAAGUUUCUGAUGGUGCAAUGAUGGAUAUGACCAGACGUAUAGUUGUAGAACUUGUAUGUCUUGGAUUUGCCAUGGGAUUUUAGCAUUUUGCUGCUAUGCUCUUUCCAGUAAAGAACCGUGUUAGAUCCUCGUGCUUUUUGCGUCACCUAAGAAACUAUCACUGCCUUUCUUUCAAGGUCUCCUUGUGUAAUGUGCAGCCUUUUGUGGAAAACCCAGAUAAAAAACCUUAAUUUAGGACCGAUCAUGGGUUCUCCAAAAAAACAUUGGCUUUGAGAUUUCAAAUUUUUUAAAUAUAAUAGAGUAUUUGCAUUGUAUACACAAACAAUUUUGACUAAUUAAGGAUCUACCAUUUGACACUAUUAACGUACUGUACUUAAAAAUUAAUGACUCUAAUACCCUUCCACAAUCAUCAUCUUCUUCGUCACUUCUAAAUCCUCCCCUCCACAGCCGAGCGUCUCCACCAAUCGAUCCGCCUCCUCAACGCCCGGCUCCUGCCACCCCGAGCUCCUCUCUUAGCUCUCUUCCCUCUCCGACGCGGAGAUAUCCCUCCUCCGCCGCACUCGCCUCCGGAUCCCCCACCUCCACCGCCAAGCGUCUCCACCAAGUGAUCCGCCUCCUCGACGCCCAGCUCCGCCACGACAUCAUCUCCCGCCACGACAUCUUCUCCCGCCACCCAGAGCUCCUCUCCGAGCUCUCUUCCCUCUCCGACGUGUCUGGCGCGUUUCCAUCCUCCGGCGCGUUCUCGUCCUCCUCCCGAUCCACCGCCGCGUUGGUCCCUCUCAUGCCGCUUGAAGCUCUCUUUCCGCCGGAACCGCCAGAACCACUGGAUCGUCGGGUUCUCCCUCGUGACGAUCCCUUCUCCCUCGUCUUCCUCCUCUGCCUCCUCUGCCUCCUUGCCUCAUGGCUGUUCCUCUACCUGUUCUGCCCCUCUGUUCAGCCGAUCGUCAUCGUCAGUCGCGCAUUCUCCGAUAGCGAGACGUUUGGGUGUUUGAUCUUGUUUGGGUAGAGAAUAUCGAUCAAAGAUCAAAGAAGGGCUUUUACGUAACUAGAUAUAUACAGUAUCUACCCUGACACACUAAGUUUUACUGUAUAUGGUAUUUUGCUAAUAUCGUGUUCUUCUUUGGGUUUCUACCAAAUUGAACUCAAUAUAAUAUACAUAAACAUAGACCUCUAAAUUGUUAAAAAAAAUUAUUAAAUUUUUCACUAUAUAGCGUCCCCAUCAUCUUAUGUCGACCCUGAUAUUAAUUUAGACCAAUUGCUUAACAAAUACUAGAGUUUGACUCGCGCACCCGCGCGGAUAUUUGUUUAUUUUUUAAAAAUAUAUAUUUAUCUUAUAUAAACGUAAGUAUAUUUUUUUAUUGUAGCAAUAAAUGUAUAUUUUGAAAUUUACCUGUAUUAAAUAAUUUUUAGCAUUUUAAACAAAAUAAUUUUAUAAUUAAUAAUAAAUAAUUUUAUUUUAUCUUUUGACCUGUCAAUUGUAUCAUCUAUAUUUUUAAAAUAUGUGCGAAUGUAUUUUUUAUGGAUAAAAAUUUUAAUGUAAAAUAAAGUUGUAAUCUAUAAUUAUAUUUUAUUUAUACGAUUCAAAAUUCAAUAUAUCAUUUACAUUUUGUGUUUUAUAUUAUGUAUUUUAUAUCAUUUUCUUAUGUUUUUUCGACAUAGUUAAUUAUACCAAAAUUAAAAAUAACCAACCCAUAAUAAUGGACAUUUUUUUGCAUUGAUUAAAUAUAAUUUAAUGUUUAGCUAGAUUAUAGGAAGUAUUUUUGAUAUAAAUGACACUUCAUUUAUUGUACUUCCAUUUAGGAAAAAUGCAUUAAUAAAACAGAAAAAGACAAGCACUAAAAUAGGCAAUUUAAUAAUUAGUUAGUGGUAUGGAAAUGUAAAUAAGUUUGAAAAUUAAGGGGUAAUUUUAAAUGAUACUUCUCUUUUAAUAAUAGAGAUGAGAAGCAAAGGUUAAAUCAUUCAAGAACAUCCACUAAAUAGUUUGUUCUACACUAAAACAAGUAUAAAAAAAAGAAGACAAAAGUGAUACCAUAACAAAACUCAUAAGACUGUUGAUUAUUUAAAGGAAGAAAUGUAUACGUACCUGUUGAGGUGCAUUGCAACCAGGAGGAACACGAAAUACAUCACUAUCGAGUGGCAUAUCAGCUGUUGCCUCUAACCUCCUGGCAAACCUACUUGUGGUACCACCAUGACAGAACAACAAGAAGCUGUUCAGAACAAAACUAAGAUAAAGGACAUUUUAGAGGGUGGCACCACAAUUAGGUUUGUUAGAAGCAAAGAGCUAUUCUUAUAAAAGAUAUUUUAGCAAUUUCUAUAUAAAAGACAUCUUUAUUAUUUUUUAUUUGUGGAGGGUGGUGGAAGAUGCUUGAUAUGCUUCCCAUCAGGCAAGGCUUCAUAAGGAAACUUCUCCGUCUUUAGACCAUCUCCAAUGGCUUACUCUAUUUUUUACUCUAAAAUAGAGUAACUCUAUAAUAGAGUUUGAAUUUGCUCCAAUGGUACUCUAUUUUAGAGUAGAAAAUAGAGUGAUGAACAAAAAAAAAACAAGUUACUCUAUAUUUGGAGUAAACCUAUUUUUCACUCUAUUAUAGAGUGAGAAAUAUAGUACUAUUGGAGCAUUUUUAUUCUAAACUCUAUUUUAGAGUGAAAAAAAUAGAGUGGAGUUGGAGAUGCCCUUAUAAGAAUAGCUCUUUUCACACAAGCCAGUCUCAGCACUGAAGAAGAAAACAAAAAAAAAAACCCUAUGAAAAUGGGUCGUUUCUAAGGAUUUUAUCUUAGUGUUGUUCUGAACAGGUUCUUGUUGUUCUUCAUGAUGCCACUCAAUGCACCUCAUGGAUUUUAUCUUAGUGUUGUUCUGAACAGGUUCUUUUAUAUAGAAAUUGCUAAAAUAUCUUUUAUUUUAAUUACAGAAUUAAUAUUAAUGAAAAUUAUUUUUAAAAGGACAUUUUUAGUUAUAACAGGUUUAACGGGGAGAUUUAAUAGGAGUAUUAGAUAUUAUAAAAAUUAAAAUAAGAGUAUUAGCUAUUAAAAAAUAAAAUAAUAAAAAGACAUGUGAGAUUGUAAGAAAAGUGGCGCACCUUUCGGAUACGGAUUAUAUACCUGUCACCAAGCUGUUGGUUUAAAUUUGUAAAAAAAAAUGAAAAUCAUUUUAUCAUUUAAAACUAUUUCUUUUUUUUUUCUUAGAAACUUUAAGGGAAAUUUGAUUAUAUAACCACCAAAAAAAUUAUAAUUCAAAAUCUAACUAUUUUACCUAUAAAGUUA